GGCGGCUCCGCCCCGCUGCGGGGGCCGCCCGCGCCGGCAGAGGCGGCUCCGUUCGCCGCUGUGACGCCGGCGGCGCUGGAACACCUGGAGGGGCGGCGGCGGCGGCGGCUUCGGCUCGGCCCUCCCCUCCCCUCCGCCGCGGGCAAGGCUUGGAGAACUAGAAUGCCACAGGGCAGACAUUCCAGUGAAAACCAAGGACAUUCAUUUCCAGGAGAGUCAGGUGGACGUGUACGGUGUGUAAGUGUCUGAAGAAAAUAAGAAACAUGGAAGGUCAUAAGUACAAUUAUCCAAGGGAAUUUUAUGACCAAUAUGCUCAAAGCCAAGAAAAAUCUGUGGUCAAUAAAAUGCAACAGAAAUACUGGAAAACAAAACAAACCCUUAUAAAAGUUACAGGAAAAAAGGAAGAUGAACAUGUUGUGGCUUCCGAUGCAGAUCUGGAUGCAAAACUAGAGCUGUUCCAUUCUAUUCAGAGAACGUGUAUGGAGUUACUAAAAGCAAUUGAACUGUAUCAAAAAAGGAUUUGUUUUCUGUCUCAGGAAGAAAAUGAAUUGGGGAAAUUUCUUCGGUCACAGGGUUCUCAGGAUAAAACGAGAGCAGGAAAAAUGAUGCAAGCCACAGGAAAGGCCCUCUGCUUUUCUUCUCAGCAAAGAUUAGCACUGCGUGCUCCUCUGAGUAGAUUAUAUCAAGAAGUGGAGACUUUCAGGUACAGGGCCAUCUCAGACACAUGGCUAACAGUAAACCGAAUGGAACAGUAUCGGACUGAAUACAGAGGGGCUCUACUCUGGAUGAAAGAUGUGUCUCAGGAGCUGGAUCCAGAUCUUUAUAAGCAGAUGGAAAAGUUCAGGAAGGUUCAAGCUCAAGUGCGACAUGCAAAACUCAACUUUGACAAACUGAAGACUGAUGUCUGUCAAAAAGUGGAUCUUUUGGGAGCGAGCAGAUGCAACCUCCUUUCUCACGUGUUAACAACAUAUCAGGCAACACUUCUUCAUUUUUGGGAAAAAACUUCACACACAAUGGCAGCCAUCCAUGAAAGUUUCAAAGGUUAUCAGCCAUAUGAAUUCACUAUGUUAAAGAGCUUGCAAGAUCCUGUGAAUAAACUAACAGAAAAAGCAGAAAAGGAAGACCUGCAGAUUGAGAGCACCAAAUCAGUACAAGAUCAGCAGAGUCAGUUGAUUUCAUUAGAUGAGGAGAUCCAUACAAAGGAAUCAAACUAUUCAGCUGGUGAUGGCAAGGAUGUCAUAUCCGCAUUACAAGGAAAUUGUAACCACAAGCAGAACUCAGGUGCCAUAGAUGACUUAUUAGACCUGCAACCUGAAGAAAAUGCUUCAAAGGAUCAGUUUGUGAGGUCCUUGGAGUCAGAACCUGAUGAUAAGGAUGACAUGAUACUACUGAAUGAGAUCCUCAACGCUUCCUCCCUGGACGAAGGGGAAUUCAGCAAAGAGUGGACAGCCGUUUUUGGACAGGUUGCACUUGCUGAUCACACCAUGAACUCUUCAGCUGGAGAUGUGGAGAACGCUUCGUCAUCUGUGGCACCAACACCAUCAGGCUACUUGCCCUCACAGCUGUUAGACCAAAACAUGAAUGACUUGCAGUCGUCUUUAGAUGGAUGGGCAGCUAACAGUGUGAGCCCACCGUCUAUACCACAGCCAGCACAGAAACCGAACAGCCUGAAUGUGAACACUAACAAGACGCCCAUGAAAGAACCUACAAAGAACCCUAAAGACUUGACUGCCUGGUUCAGUCUCUUUGCUGACCUUGACCCGUUAUCCAAUCCUGAUGCUGUUGGGAAAACUGAUAAAGAACAUGAAUUGCUUAAUGCAUGAGUCGGCUGCCUAUGCAAAGGAAGGUAAAAAGGAUGUGUCAGCAGCCACUUAAGAUCGUCGCAGAUUCAAGACUUCCAGGAUUAAAAAAAAAAAAAAAAAAAAGAGGUCUCUUGUCUUGACUGGCACAAUUAAAGGCAUUGCAGAAGUUCAGCUAAAGAUUUAAAGUUCUCAAUUCUGAUCGUGUUUUUAGGUAGGGAACCAGCUGAAUGACCAUCCCUUUUACACAAAACAAACCAUGGCUGCCGGGUUUGUUCCCUCCUUCCCCACCCCCAACUUCACUAUUGAUCAGUUCACAUUAUAUAUUAAUUUCUUGUAAUAUGUGAUUUUUGAAAUUAACAUUAGCUUUGAAUUCUUAGUCUUUAGCCUAUGCAAUUUUUUCACACUUUCAAAUGAAAAAAAUUGAGCUGGAAAAUAUUUUAAAUAUAAUUAAUUUUGCUUAAAGCAAUUGAAAUCCCUAUGUACAAUGUAUUAUUAUCAUGAACAUUUAUUGGAGCUGGAAACUAGAGCAAGAAAUCUAACACCCUGCAAAGAGGGAUUUUUCAGGCAAAACUCUUAAUUACAGUGUUACAAACAAUGCUUCCCUACUACUAACGAAGUGUACAGCAUGCACUUCUUGGCAGCCUGGACUGCAGAGUAACUCUAAGCCCCAGUGCCAUCAUGAGAGGAUUUUCUGUGAUGUGCGUACAGGCUCAGCAGUAGUUGGGACAACAGGGUAGUUCAUCAUCCUGGUAAAAUUACAGAUUGAUUGUUCUACACACAUAACAUUCAUCUUGAUUUAAUAAUGCUUCAUUCCAGUUGCAUAUUCUGGUUGAGUAGUGGAUUGUUUUAAAAUAAAAACAGCUGCAGAACCCCUAUGGCAGAUGAAAACAGUGGUAA